rnacentral:rRNA from 1 species
AUUGAACGCUGGCGGCAGGCUUAACACAUGCAAGUCGAGCGAGAGGCGGACGGGUGAGUAAUGUCUGGGAAACUGACUGAUGGAGGGGGAUAACUACUGGAAACGGUAGCUAAUACCGCAUUCCCUCAGAUGUGCCCAGAUGGGAUUAGCUAGUCGGUGGGGUAAUGGCUAACCUAGGCGACGAUCCCUAGCUGGUCUGAGAGGAUGAGCAGCAACACUGGAACUGAGACACGGUCCAGACUCCUACGGGAGGCAGCAUUGGGGAAUAUUGCACAAUGGGCGAAAGCCUGAUGUAGCCAUGCCGCGUGUGUGAAGAAGGCCUUCGGGUUGUAAAGCACUUUCAGCGAGGAGGCGUUACUCGCAGAAGAAGCACCGGCUAACUCCGUGCCAGCAGCCGCGGUAAUAC